rnacentral:rRNA from 1 species
GAUGAACGCUGGCGGCGUGCUUAACACAUGCAAGUCGAACGGAAAGGCCCAAGCUUUCUUGGGUCCUCGAGUGGCGAACGGGUGAGUAACACGUGGGUGAUCUGCCCUUCACUUCGGGAUAAGCCUUGGAAACUGGGUCUAAUACCGGAUAGGACCUCUUCUUGGAUGUUGUGGUGUAGAGUUUUUUCGGUGUGGGAUGAGCUCGCGGCCUAUCAGCUUGUUGGUGGGGUGAUGGCCUACCAAGGCGUCGACGGGUAGGCGGCCUGAGAGGGUGUACGGCCACAUUGGGACCGAGAUAAGGCCCCGACUCCUACGGGAGGCAGCAGUGGGGAAUAUUGCACAAUGGGCGCAAGGCUGAUGCAGCGACGCCGCGUGGGGGAUGACGGCCUUCGGGUUGUAAACUCAUUUCGCUAGGGACGAAGCGUUUUGUGACGGUACCUGGUGAAGAAGCACCGGCUAACUACGUG